UUUGCCUCUCCAAUUUCAGUCCCGAAGUUUUAUUUACGUUCAUUUGUGCAAACCCCUAAUUUUUCUUUCCUUUCUUUACAGUCUCUCUGCAUCAUCUCUCUUAUCUUCGAGUGUUCUCUUCCCUAAUUUCUCAUCCCUUCGAUCGAAGAGGCAAAGCUAGUGGGGGAUAGCGAAAUCACGCAAUGGUGGUGGCUCGUGGCUAUUUCCGGUGGUGGAAUUCGCGAUUUGGGCGACAGGUGUAGCGGUGGUGGAGCGAACUCGACGAAGUUACAGCGACCAUUGCGGGUCGAAGAAGGAGGCGUUGCGUUGGCACUGUCUACACCUGCGACGACUCCAAGCGCUACCGACAGUGAACUUGAGAGUUGCUCCAUCUCCCUGGCAGAAAAUUUCACGGUUUCUCCGACAUUCGCCGGGAAAUUCAGGNGCUGAACUUUUUAUCUCCAACCUUUGCGUUUGUCUUUUACAUGUUUAUGACGCCGACGACUUAUCGGCAUUGAUUACUCACUAGGUGAUUACCGUUUUUAGGUCAUUGAAGAAAUAAUAAUGAAGAAGUAGAAUGUUAUCAUGUUCGAUUGGCGUUUGCCUUGUAUUUUGAAUGACUAUUGAAUGGUAGAGUUCUGUUUUCCCUUUUGUAACACUACUUUUGCUUGCCGACAUCUAAGUGAAAGGUAGAAGAGAAUAAUUUUUCCUAGAUUAUUUCGGUUUUUCCAAUCUCCUUAUGCUUCAUUGAGAAAGCUAUAACUUGGUUCUGUAAAUCAAUACAUUAUGUUAAUGCCUUCUAUAAGUCUAUAAUAUCUCAGUUCUAUGGUUAUUGAAGAACUACUGAAGUUUGGAAUAUAUUUUAAUAGUCUUAAUUGUUUUGAAAAAGCUAGAUCCUGUUUGUAUUUUCUUGUAACUUCUGAUAGAUUUUGUAAGGAAUUUCAUUAAUUGAUGUUUUUUCUUAAACUUUGUUAUAAUUAUUUUUUAUUAAUGUUGGAAUCAAUUGAAAUCUUCCUAGUUGCUAUUCAUGACUAGGUUUGUGCGGCAUUUGUUAAGCUAAUUGAAGUCUGUCCAUCUUUCUUGGAGGUGAGCAUCUUGCUCUGGUUCAUUUUAGUUUUUCAAGUUAAUUAGAUGUUCUUAUAUUUUCGAGAUUUUUCAUAUUGUGGUGGUUUAUCUGUUUUAUUCAUUCUGUCACACCAUAUCUGGUUAUUUACUUGUUUGAGUAAGUAGAAUUCAUUUUUUGUUUUGUUGCGAGAUGCAUGCUUAUAUGCCAUAACAGAAGUUGUGAAAGUAAGGGACUUGUGAUGAUGAACACAACUACCCCAAUCCUAAAGGAAGCUUUGGGAAUUACAAACAUGUAAAACAAAGUUAUACGAUCCAACCAAAUCCAUUCCACUUUGCUGUGAAGAUUCAUCUCACAAUAAGGAGCACUGGAUCAAAACAGAUGCCGAUUACUUGGUGUUGGAGAUCUGAAGAGAGAAAGGGAAAAAUAAUUGAAGAUCUAGUAACAGCAAUAUAUGAUAUGAUAUUGAAAAGAGUACGUUUGGGAGAAGAAUUAAAAAAGAGAGAAACCAGAGAACACUCCCUCCAAAAAAAAGUGCUCCAUCUGGAAGUAAGUGCUUGUUGAAUGGAAACCCCCAGUGUAUGAUAAUACCUGUGGUAUAGUUCUUGUAACUGCUACAACACGCCAUAAUUCACCAAAUGUUAGUUUCUGCUUGUAUACUUAUUAUUAUGGUUUUCUUUCAUUCUAUACAUUGGAGAGCAUUUGACUGACUUGGUUUUUCCAUCAGAGAGUUUUAUUCUUUCCCCCCAUAAAAGAUAAACAUUGGAUAAUAUAGAUAGAAAAAAAAAGAGGUGCUUAACAAAAACUAUAAUCAUAUGGAAAUUUUGACAAGUGCAUAAAGAGGACGAAAGAAGGACAAAACAAGUAGAAAACAUAAGGAUGUGUGCUGGUGUUAUCACUAAAUAC